rnacentral:lncRNA from 1 species
GCAUGUGUCCUUCGGGAUGGGCAAAUCUAGAGUUUAAUUUGACCUGUCCAUGAAGAAUUGGUUGUUUUAAGGUCAUUAAAUCACAACACUAAGAGGGACCUUGGAGAUAAUCUUACUCUGUAAUAAAUCCUCUUAAUUCACUGUGGGCCACACAAACCCAAAAACCUGAUGAGGAAAAGCACAAGGCCCAAACCUGUGGUGACCUUGUCAACACAGUGAUGACAUCACUACCCUAGAACAGAACUUCUUAAUCUAUGUUCACAGACUGGAUUCUGGAGGUCCACAGUACCAGCCAUCAAACAUAAGCCAAAUACUGUGAAUAUGUCCAUUUAUCUGGGGGGAUAUAUUGUAAUAUCAGUCAAAUUCUUAAAGAGAUUCCUGACUCUAAAAAAGUAAAGACAACUGUGAAAGCAAUGAGAAGCUUUUACCCAUCUUAGUCUGAACCAGCUGGGACAGAUGGUUUAAAGAAACCUGGCCUUCUUACUACCCUAGAGAGAAAGAUAUUCCCAUUUUGUGGCUGCACUCCUGCUUCUGCAUUCCACUGGGGCUUUGCAGAAGGCUGAGGUGCUGGGGCGGGUGGCAGGGAGGGAGGAGAGAUUUCCACAAAAACACAAUGUCUGUGGAUUCUAGGGAGCAGAUGGCACCUCCUUGGCUAUGAAGCUUGGAAGGGUGGCCCAGCCUGGCCCUUGGCAGAGCUGCCAUGGCAGCAGCUCUAGGCCCUGCAGAGUGUGCUGGGUGCCUGCCCAUUGGCCUGCAGCAUCUCGGAGUGUCCUUGGUCCUAAUCUCACCCUUGAGCCUCAAAUCUGUCUUGAACUAACUUCUAACCACCAUGGUGAUGAGUCAGGUCUUUGUGCCAUGACCCUCUCUCCAACCCUAAUCCAGAGACUGAAAGGGGCAGGGUCUAGGAGGUAGGGUGGUGUGACACAUUUCCAUUUCUGUUUAAAAUGCAAACAUGCAAUAAAUGUUUGCUGAAUGAAGGAAACAUGGUUCUGUUUAAGCUGCAUUAAAAUAUUUGGAUGAAGAAUUCUGAGCUCUUUGGAAAAUGUCAGGUUCUGAAUAUACCAAGGGACCUGUAAGGUAGAUAAUGUAAAAUCUGAAACAAUUUAAUGCCUAGACGCUUUUCCCAAAGAAUGAAUUCAAAAUGAAGGGAAUCAGGUGGGAGAAGAAAGUCAACGAGUCACCAGGGAAACAUUUUACUAAUUGGAAAAAGGCCAUUCAAAGGAAGGCCUGCCCUGCAUUUCUGCUUCUUGAGUUCUCU